GACAGAGGGUGCAAACGUUGCUCGGAAUCACUGGGCGUAAAGGGCGUGUAGGCGGGCAUGUAAGUCGGGCGUGAAAUCCCUAGGCUCAACCUAGGAACUGCACUCGAAACUGCGUGUCUUGAGUGCCGGAGAGGAAAGCGGAAUUCCUGGCGUAGAGGUGAAAUUCGUAGAUAUCAGGAGGAACACCAGUGGCGAAGGCGGCUUCUUGGGCCUUUACUGACGCUGAUGCGCGAAAGCCAGGGUAG
rnacentral:rRNA from 1 species